UUCUUUAUAGACACACAAACCAAAACCUUACACUUUCACUGUAAAAAUAAGAAUUUAUUUCUUUAUAGAUA
rnacentral:tRNA from 1 species